rnacentral:lncRNA from 1 species
CAUUUGGUCAGUUGAGGAAUCUCGAAUCACUCGACCUCUCUGUAAAUCGACUCAUCGGGCCAAUACCAGUGGAGCUUGCAGGGCUCACAUUCCUUUCAUUCUUGAAUCUGUCCUACAAUAAGCUGGUUGGAGAGAUCCCAAAUGGGCGUCAGUUACAAACAUUUUCAGCUGAUUCCUUCAAAGGAAAUGCGGGGUUGUGUGGUUUCAAUCUCAACAUAAGCUGCAGUACUGAUAGUGAUGACAGUGAUCAUUUGUGGCCAGAAGAAGAUGAAAACGGGGAAGAGAAGAGUGAGAUCGAGUGGGAGUAUGUAUCUUCUGCGCUUGGUUAUGUUGUUGGAUUAGGAAGCAUUGCAUGGACGCUUUUUUUCCGCAGAAGCUUCAGAGAAAGAUAUUUCGAGAAAAUAGAAGAGAUUGUUGACAAGAUUUUCUACGAGAGAGCCAGGAGAAGAAGACAUGAAAGAAGAAGAAAAAGAGUAGAGAUGAGAAAAGAGAUUAGGAGACAGCAGAGAAGUUGAUGAUAUAAACAAGGGUGCUUAGUGUUUGAUGUAAGUUUGAAGCUUUUGUUUUUUUUUUUUUUGCAUGUAACUUUCUUUAAUUUAAGCUGUAAAAGAGAUUCUGUGUGUUGGUAAUUAACUAUGUCAUUUUAUUUUACGAGAAUUAGCACAUAUCAGAUUUGUCUUGUUUAAGAUAUUCUAGGAUUUCUCAUUUGUUAUUUUAUUGUUACUAGGCAUAGAAAGCCUGCAUUGCACGCGAUUUAAUUAAUUUACAUAAAUUAAUUAAUGUAAUUGAAUAAUUAUCAUACUAUGAGAAGUCAUACAAAUUUUGCAUUCGAAAUGUAUCACUUUAUAAUUGUAGAGUAAUAUUAAUGUUAAAAAAUUUAAGAUUUACCAAUAAUUAAAAAAUAAUACUCCCUCCGUCCACUAAUUGUUGGCCUAGGAGGCAAAACACGGAUUUUAAGAAAAAGUGUAGUGAGUGGAGAAAGGGACCCACAAAAUAUAUUGUUUAUUAGUUGAGUGGAGAAAGGGAGCCACAAAGUGUAUUGUUUAUUAGUUGAGUUGAUAAAAGUGUAUUGUUUAUUGGGACCCACCAAUUAAAAAUUAUAAAGACUUACUAUAAAUGGGUAGGAAAUUUUUUGGUGGACGGACCAAAAAGGAAAGUAGGCCAACAAUUAGUGGACGGAGGGAGUAAUAAUAAAAGCGUAAUCUUGCACUCAACUAAUAUUUCUCAAGAUAUCUAAACAAAUAAUUCUUUUACGUUCAAAAAGUGUUAAUUUGCGUGUUCAUACACUUGUGAAAUCAAGUGUAUGGAAAAUCAUAAUUUAUUUUUAGAAGAGUUAUAUUCCAUACUCGUGUCCAUAAUUUAUCUCCUCUUUUCUUCGACGAAGCUUCUCUAGCGUUUGGUUUAAUGGAUGAGAUAGAUAUGAUUGAUAAGAUUGAUAGGAUUUGAGAAGUGGUUAAAUAAUGCACCCAACUUUUGAGUGAUAAAUAAUCACUCAAUUGCAUGAUUAGAUGCGGGCCGUAUUAUCAAUCGCGAAUUCAAUCAUAAUCAAACACUUGAUUAAGGUGAAUUAUUUUAUCAGUAAUGUCUUAUCACUCAAACCAAACACCUAGCAUCUCUAUGUUAAAGGAAAACCAUAAAUUUAUUUUCUUGAUUUCUCUAUUUUUGAAUCCUACACUUGUAUAUUUUGUUAUUAGUUUCUCCAUAAAUUUAAUAUUCAAACGCGUAUGCUAAAAUUAAUAAUUAUACUAAAUCUCUAAUUAAUUUCGUUUGUUAAAUAAUUUUUUGUUUUGCUUUUUUUUUUACGUGUAAUUUUCAAAAUUACUAGAAUUAUAAAGUUGAUAGUGAUCUAUAGUUUCUAUCCCAACAUAGUUGAUAGUCAUUACAUUUUCCCAACUAAAGAAGUUAAGCCUAUCUUCCUGCAACCUAAAAAGAUUUCCUGAUUUUUUAAAACAAUCCAACUUGAUUUCUAUCACUCUUUUAGUUGGACAAAGUUUACAUCAGUUGAUUUCUCACGCAAUAAAUUGACAGUCGAAAUUAAGUCACAUAUAUUAAUUUUUGCCUUCUUAAACCAUUCGAGCUUCUAAAUACCCAUCAUCAUCAGAAGUUAUUAGACCAACAUCAAGUGAACUUUCGACUGUCAAUUAAGCUCUAAUUUUUUUGAAAAUCAAACUCAGGUGAAAAUUGCAAUAAAAAUAUAAAUUCGUAGAAGAUUUGGAGAGGUCAAGUCUUUUGAGGUUUGGGAAUAUAGAAUAGAUGGAGAAUGGUCUAAAUUGAUAAUGUUGACAAACCAUUGAAUUAACUUGAAUGGUUCAUUGAUGUAUGUUUCACGAGAAACUUCUCCGGGCUGCCGUCAACUACUAGUCUAUGACUGGGUUGGGCGAACAUUGAAAGAACUAGAUAUUUAUGAUUGUGAAGAUGUGUUGGGGAUUUCUACUAUUACUACUUCAUUCCCAACUCCCAACUUGCGGAAACCGAUGCCAAUUAAGCCCACGUUUGGUUGAGUGUUUUUAGAGGUUGAAAAGGGAAUCGAGUAAUUGAAUUCAUUACUUAUUGUUUGGUUUGGGUAAUGAAAUAAUCAUUACCCUUACUUGAGGGUAACCUAAUUAAUCACCCAAUUUGUUACCCCUCAAAAUAGAGGGGAAACAAAAGAAAAGGAAUCCCUUACUAAUGAUUCAUUUCCAUUGUUAAACCAAACACUCAAUAAAAGUAAUGAUUAUUGUUAUCAUUCCACUCCUUUAUUUGAUUCCAUUCCCUUUCCAUUCCUCUACUUGAACCAAGCGAGCACUAAGUAUGUAUGAAUCCUCUAGUCUUUUGCAGCAGAAUUAGAACACCACCAAAUGUGAUUGUUGCUGAAGGUGAUGAACAAGGGGCUCAGGCUGCAAAUGGUUCAAAAUAAUUGUAUGGCAUUCCUUUUCAAUUAUCCUUCUUAGCCUAUAAUUAAGUUUGUUGUUGUAAUUGGAAACUGUUGUGAACAGCGUCGAGAAAAUGGAUGAGAAGAAGGGGAGUAUGGAGAAAUUGGGGAUUUCUGUGGAGAACAAUAAAGAUGGAAUUUUUAUGUCUCUUUCGCUUGUUGACGAAGGCUGGGGAAUUUGACAAAAAGACAAAACGAAGAUAAUAAUAAUACUAAUUUAAGUAAAAUAUAGCGGAAAAAUAUAAUUAAUCUAGGUAGCCUAAAAAAUUCUUGAAAUUCAAACUACUCAAAAUCACCAAUUUUCCGAAAUAUCAACUACACAAUCUUACCAUUAUCACUAAAUCAAAUCAAUCGUCAUUUAGUUUCCAUAAUCCUCCCUCCUCGAACUCUAACUAUAUAUACCACAAAAUACAAUUCCCAUUAUCAUCACAUUUCAAAUCCCAAAAACAGAAAUUGAAAUAAAUAAAAACUUCCACUAAUUAAUCAAGGCAACCAAAACCCUCACAUCACUCCUCCUCGCUCUCUCACUACUCCAACUCUCCAAGGCAUCCUCGCCGUCCGAUUCACGGUCACCAACAACGCCUCCGCUACCCCCGGCGGGCGCGCGGCGCUUCGACCGGGAGAUCGGCACUGCCUACACACUCACCGCAAUGCCGCAAAUCGCCGGCUUCAUAUGGAAGAUAUUCCGGCAACCCUCCGACGCCGACAGACGUCACUACUUCCCCGACGACGUCGUAAACCUGUACGUCCAAGACCUCCACGACGGCGCCCUGGGCGAAACCGGCGAAAACAACAUCUACAUGAGCGCGGAAGGCAUCGAAAGCUACCCUCCCGGCGGCGGAGCUAGGUCUGUUCACCUCGAUUCUGUACCAUGAAAUGACGCACAUUUUUCAGUGGUCGGGGAAGGGCAAGGCGCCCGGGGAUUUGACGGAGGGGAUGGCCGACUACGUGGUGCUGAAGUCGCCAUUCUACAACGCCGGGUAGGGGAGGGGAGCCGGUGGGACGAAGGCUACGGAGUGACGUCGAGGUUUUUGGAGUACUGCGACGGGCUGAGGGAAGGGUUCACGGCGGAGCUGAAUAAGAUGAUGAGGGAAGUUUACAAAGAGGAGUAUUGGAAGGAGUUGUUAGGGAAAGAUGUUGAUCAGCUUUGGAGGGAGUAUAAGGCUAAGUAUACUAAUCUAUCUAUACAUCUAUCUAUACAUAUAUAAAAGCUGGUUCAUCUAGCAAAAAAAAAUUCCCGCUCUUUUACUCAAUCUAUUUUUGGAAAGUUGAUUUAUAUUUAGAAAGUUCACUAAUUCAUAGGAUGAUAUAUAUAAGUUGCGGGGCCCACUUGCUACAAUCUAUACAGUGCUCUUUUAUAUCAUGCAAUUUAUAGUUUUGUGAAAAAUAUCCUUUAUUUUUGUGAAUUUAUAUUUUUUUUAGAUAAAUUUAUAUAAAUAUACAAUAUUUAAAAUUUAAAGUGCCAAACUUAUUUUAGCCUUAUCCCUAACAUCCCUGACCCACAAAAGGUGAUGCUAGCAGCUAUGCACUUUGAUGGGAAGGCCUCACAGUGGCACCAAAAUUUAGGGGUGAAACAGAUUGAAUUGAGCUGGAACCAAUUCAUUGAACUGGUCUCUGCCAGGUUUGAGGAGUUGAAGGAAACCAAAAUAGUGGCUGAGUUCAACAAGUUGAGGAUGACUGGGAACUAUACUGACUAUGUUGAGAGGUUUGAAGAACUAAGGGCUUGUCUAUUGAUGUUUAAUAGAGGAGAAUUCUCAGAGGACUACUUCAUAGCAAGCUUUAUUAGUGGGCUGGGUGAUGAACUACAAUCUUUCAUAAGGAUGUUCAAUCCAGCUACUUUAAAUCAGGCUGUGGAAUUGGGAAAGAAUCAGUUGCAGACACUAGAGGUUAUCACUAAGAAGCUUAAGGGCACAUACAGAAAUUCAACCCCAGUUAACCAAUUUUCAAAGAGGCCAGAGAACAACAACUUGAAAUCUGGAAAUUUUACUCCAAAGUCGCCAUUCAAGUUACUCACUGCUGAAGAAAUGGAGGCUAGAAGAAGCAAAAAACUCUAGCUACAAUUGCGAUGAAACCUAUGUCCCAGGGCAUAGAUGCAAACAGAGAAUUUCCUACUUAAUCAUGACUGAAGAGGAGGAAGCUAAUUUGUCCCAUAUCACUCUUGAAGAGACUGAGGAAGAUAAGAAUGAAACAUUGGUGAUGGAGGAAAUUAUUUUAGCCAUCAGUGCUUUAUCUGGGAAUGAUGGACCUACAACCAUGAGAGUUUUGGGAGAAAUUAACGGUCAGACGAUUAACAUCCUCAUUGAUUCAGGUAGCACAUUAAGCUUCAUUAAUGAGGCUACUGUGAAGUCCCUAAAUUGCAACCAAGAACCUGUCAAUUCAAUAAAAUAAUAAUAAUAAUAAUAAUUUACUUACUUUGUCUAUCUCUUUUCAUUUACUUUAUCUUUAUCUUAUUUUUUUCACUACUCUAUCUAUCUCUCUCCUUAUCUAUCUUACGGACGGAGUAAUAAUAAAACGAAUAAAAUUAUGACAUAACAACUAAAUUCAUACAUUUUCACUACUCAGUCUAUCUCUCUCCUUAUUUAUCUUUCGGAGGGAGUAAUAAUAAAGCGAAUGACAUUAUUACAUAACAACCAAAUUCAUAAGUAAUGUCGUCGUUCCCCUUCAUGGCCUUCAAAUAAGUGCCGCCGCAAACCAUCACCUCCACCGCAGGUGAUCCCAUCCUCCUUGCUGGAUUCGGCUUCACCGGCAGCAUUGCGAGAAUCCGGUCGCCCGGAAAUUAAAAUUUGGGUAUAAUUAUUGUAUUUAUGGUGGAAAUUAAAAUAUUGUUGAUAACAUUAGCCAAAUCUAUAGUGGAAAUUAAAAUAUUGUGUGGGCCUAAGGAUGUGAAAGCCCAUUACCGUGAUAAGUGGGCUUCAGUGGUUGCAUAUGCUGGUCCAAAUUUGUGAUGAUUAAUGCACCCCCAGCCCCACAACACCAACACCAACCCCAAAUUCCACAAUUGUGAAUUUGUGAUAUUCAUAUUUUUAUAUUAAUGCAUCAACAAUAUUUAUAUCAUCAAAUCAAGAGAAAAAUAACCUUUGUUUAUAUUGAUGUCAGGUCGUCUUUAAACUUAAAAAAUAAACAUAUAUGGGAUUUAAAAUAAAUUAUAUGGGAUAUUCGUGGAUAAGAUCAAAAGGAUUAUGAUAUGAUUUAAAUUUGAAUGCCGUCAUGAUUAUGGAACACAAAAAUUUGGGUAGAAUCAGGUGUACUGUACAACCAAGUUGAGCCAUAUCUAUAAUAGUGUUAUUUAUGCUAUUCGAGUUAAGAUAUGGAUUCGAAUCAGGAUGCAAGUCAUGGUCUUAGUAAGGAUGCAACUCGAUUGUGUACCCACUUCAAACAUCCUUAAUUAAUUCCUUGUACUUUAAUCAUACUACACCUUUGUUACCAUCGUAUAAUUGCAAUUAACGGAGACUUGUAAAUCAAGCAGAAGUGCAUACAAUUAUAUAACUACUUUUCACAAUUGAAUUUCUAUUGUUGCUAUAAUAAAAGCAGAGUCAAGGGAUUUUUUAGGACAAUAACUUAGAUUGAUUUGGAAAUUAGGACAAUAACUUUCGGACUUGUAAACAUCCCCAUUUCACUUCCUUUAUUUUGAGGACGAUCAGCCUUCUUACAUGAAUCCCAACCCUUCACUUCCUCUGAUUCCUUCCAAGAAUCACUCUUCAAGCUAUAUAUCCAAUAUAUAGAUUCGCCGCUAGCUCUAGCCGCAAUCACAAAAACCUUGUAAUCGUCGCUCGAUUCAUCCCAACCGAACCCACAACAGUAGAAAUAAAAGCAUGACAUCGUCUUUGAGUGAGGCAGUUUCUUGGAGAUUCUGAGAGAUGGAUUCCACAACACAAACUGUGUUUGUUCAUUCAGUGAAAGGCAAACAAGCCCAUUGCAGCAACCAACAAUGCUAUUAAAACCGAUUGGGAAUUCCAAUUCUAAAGCAUCGUGAGUAUAUGAGAUAUCGAGUAUACCUUAAGUUUAGUAUUUUUCCAAUACAAUAUAACCGGUUCGGUAUCUAUCAUACUUUUUUCAUACCUAUCAUAUCUUACCAAAAAUUUUGGUAUACCUUAAGUUUAGUAAUUUUCCAGUACAAUAUAACCGGUUCGGUAUCUAUCAUACUUUAACCAAAAAGUUUGGUGUACCUUAGUUUAGUUUCAAUAUUUUUCCAGUAUGGUAUAACCGGUUCGAUAUUUUUCUAGCACGAUAUAGCCGGUAUAUUCUUUUACUUCUAGCAUCAUACGGCCUCUUCAAAAAUGCACCAAAAAUCUCUUUUUAUUGUAAUUCCUUUUACUCGACUCCGUCGAACUUUUCAAUUUUUGCAUCAAAUUAAACCUAAUUAUGUAUACUAAAUUCCAUUAAUUAAAACACAAAUAAUUUAAGAAUAUAAAUAAUUAAAAUACACACAUAUCAAAUAUCUUUACACUUGAAUCAUGCUACACCUUUGUAAAUCAAGCAAAAGUGCAUAUAAAUAUAAUUACUAUUUUUCACAAUCGAAUUUCUAUUGUUGCUAUUAUAAAAGCCAUGUAUACUAUGGCUGCACUGGGCUCCAGCCCAGUGCAAAGCCCAAAUUUUUUCUAUAUAUAUAUAAUAUAUAUAAUACCAAGCCCACCUCAUAGAUUACCCAUAGCCCAGCCCAACUAUCUAAAGAAAACAUAAAAACAUUCUAACCUAUGUCAAAGACUCAAAGAGUGACGCACACAGUAGAAAAAUUCAAAAAAUAGCGUCUCUCUCUCCUGAGCAAUUGCAAAGCAAUAAUUUCUCCUAUUGUGGCUGUGGAGAAUUGAACUUCCAAUUUAUUUACUUAUUCUCGUCUCAUAUUAUUCAAGGUAUGUAAAUUCAAGAACCCUAAAUUAGAAUUAAUAUUAAAAUUAAGUUUAUUUUUGUUGAAUUUUACUGAUGAAAUUGAAACUUGAAAUAGAGGUAGAAUAAUUUCUUAUCUUUUAUUUGAAACUCACCUGUAAAUUGCAAUUAAUAUUUUAAAUAUAUAUAAAUAAAUGUCAAAUAUAUGUAUCACCUACCCACCUUUCUUAUACAAACAAUCAAAUAUCAAAUAUAUGUAUAUAUAUACGUGCAUCAUCAAUUCGCAAAGAUUCGCAUACCUUUCUUAUACUAUAGAAUUAAAGCAUACUAACGCUUCAAAAGCCAACCUAAUUCGGAACUCUAGAGAGAGGAGAAUAGAGAGGGAAUUGCGAAUGCCAAUUCAAUCAAUUGCAAUAUAUGAUUCUCCUACCAUAAGUUAUAUAUAAAUAAAUAAAAAUUAAUAGAUCUAACCAAAUAUAAUAUUGAGCUAGUCUCUUGUGCGAGUUCACAGGUUGAAAUUUAUAACCUUUUUUUUUUUACCCUUACUUGUUCCGCACGUUGAUUAAAGUUAUUUUUAAUAUAUUAUAGAUAUCUUAAUCCCUCGUAAUCCUUUUUAUAUUAAGGCGUGAUGAUCCGCAAGUUUUGCACUAAUUAGAUUUUAAUUAGAAUCAUAUUAACAACUGAUCCUCAUCUCACUCUCUCUUCUCUCCCUCACCUCUCUAGAGUUGGCGGAUUCGCCUGAUUGGGUUGCCUUGAAGCGUUAUUAAGCUUUGAUUCUAUAGUAUAUAAGAAAGGUAUGUGAAUUUUUACAAACUACUUAUAUAUUUGAUAUUUGAUUUUAUCUAGGAGAAAGUAUUUUCGAGUUGGUCGAUGAUGUAUAAUUCUGUUGCUAAUUUGUUUUUGUAGAUGAAUGAGCUUGUUUUGAAAUGUUUCGAUGGUGGUGGCGAUAAUAAGUAUUAUUUAUCUAUUACGUCUCCUCAAGACAUGUCUCCCAAGGAAGGCUUUGAAAUUACCAAUCUUUUCUUUUAUGAUAAUGAAAAUUAUGUUAGUGGUAAUAUUUGUCGGAUGCUGUUGUAUUUCUAUUAUGAGGGCCAAACUGUUCUUUGCAACCUAGCAACUAAAGAGCUGAAAUUUAUUGCUCCGCCGAAGAAACCCAUUCAAUAUGAUAUCCUUUUCCAGGGUUGUGGUCUCGGAUACGAUGCUAAAUCCGGCGACUACAAGUUGAUACAGAAGUAUCACCUAUGGUCUUGGUGCAAUGUUCAACAUCGUUGUGAUUAUGAUGAUUAUGACGAGACGAAAACUGAGUUGUAUUCGCUUAAAAGUUGUUCUUGGAAGGAGAUUCCGAGUCCUGAUGCUCGUAUUGGCGCCCAUUGUGGUGUGUACGUUGAGGGGAGUUGCUAUUGGCCAGCAAGUCUUGGUCCGGCCUUUGGUGGUCCAUCGGGUGAACUGGCAUUAGAUGUUCUAUCAUUCGACUUCACCAGUGAAUGUUUCUCUUGCAUCCCUUCGCCGACUCGAGAUGAUGGGUUUGCAUAUGAUCUUGUCGAGUGUCGUGGGUUUUUGGGUGCUAUUGCCUAUGAAUAUACCGAUGAACAAUCAAAGUGUGGAGCCAAGUCUUUUGAGCUUUUGGUAUGGAAAGAAAGGUCGUGGGCCAAAUCAUUUGUUGUUGCUCUUUACGGCAUUGAAAACCCGUUGGGAUUGAAGGAAGGUCGUUUUUUGUUUCUUAAAAGGAAAAUAUUCGGUAGUGAUAAGCCCUAUCAGUUAGUAGUUUAUGAUUGUAUCACGAAGGAGUUGAAGAAAUUUGAUACUGAUGCUCGUGCACAAAAUGUGAGUGUUGUCUCUUAUGUUGAUGAUAGAGUUGAGCUAGUUUAUGACUGGAUUUCGAUGAAGGUGUUUUCUUAUGCUGAGAAUUGUGCUCUGCUGCCGAAUGAUGCAAAAAUGUAAGUGGUUUAUGUUUCACCAAAUAUGAGUUUAUAUUAUCAUUAAUUUGUCCAAUAACUUGACUAACUAAUGUUUUAUCUAAACAAUGAACCACAGCUCACAAAAUGCUGAAGAAUUCGUCCUCGAAGGUUUUCAGAAGAUCGACAUCCAGCCAUGAAAGCUCGAAAGAAAACCCACAUUUACUGUGAUAAGGCUUUGGCUUUUUACCUAUAUCUUGUGUUAUGUUUCGUGUCGUUAUGCUUGGAAAUGAUACAUUGCAAGAAUUUCAAAGUUGAUUCCGAUUUGUUGAGGAAGUUUUCUCAUGAAUAAUAACUUAGGAUUUCUCCAAUCUCACCAUUUCAAACGUGAUAAAAAAACACGCAAAACUAGCUCAAAUGACGUGAUAAAAAACACGCAAAACUAGCUCAAAUGAUAGAAAUAAUAAGAGCCUAAAAUAUAUAAGGGAUUAGCAUUACUAAUUUUAUCUAGGGCAAAGUAUCAAAUAAGCCCCUGACAUAGUAGUCCUUAUCACGUUAGCGAGUAUCGAUCACUAUGAGUCUCGUUGCAUCAUUAUUAUUAUUAUUAUUAUAACUCUAAAAUAAUAUUUUCAAUUUAUUUAUUAAUAGUAUAUUUUUUUUAAUGUAGUUGUCCAUUAGAUUAGGCUUGUGGGCCAUUAUUAUUAUACCAAAACCUAGUUAACCUAAAACCGGAAUUUACCACGAUCCAAACAAAACUAAGGGGGGUGUAUUCGUUGUGGAUUUCCACAGACUUUAAAAAGUCCAUGGAAUUCACAUAGAUUCCAGACGACUUUCAAAGAAUUCGUGGUUGGAUUUCACCCCGAUUUUCACUGAUUUUCGAAGAAUUUAGGGGAUAAUUCUGGAAUUGAAAUCCAUGAUGCCAACGCCCGCUGAGUCAUAUGCUGGAAUCCAGCAUAUGCUGGAAUCCAACAUAUGCUGGAAUCCAACAUAUGCUGGACUCUCUCAACGGUGGCUGAGUUCCAGCGCUCGCUUAAAAUUUCAUGGAUUUCAAUUCUCGUGGUUCUUGGCCGGAUUUCGUCGUGUGUAUUUUUUGGAUGAAAUCCAUGAAAGUCAUUCCAGAUUUUAAGUCAAUGGAAUAACGAAUACACCUAGAUUUGUAUGGAUUUUAAAAAGUCUGAAACGAAUACACCCAGAUUUAUAUGGACUUUUAAAAGUCUUAAACGAAUACACCCAGAUUUCUGCAGACUUUUAAAAGUCUGGAACGAAUACACCUAGACUUUUAAAAUCCAUAGAAAUCUAUUAAAAUUCACAACGAAUACACCCCCCUAAAUUUCAUUAUUUACACACGCCAAAGAUUCCAUGGAUUCUGAAGGCGAGGGUUUCUACAGCAGCAGUAGUGAUACGGCGGCGGAUGACAGCUUCGCUGAUUACGCCGCCGUCAGCCGCCUCCAGAAACCCUACAAAAUCCUAAAAGAGGGCGACAUCCAGCAACUCCUCGACGACGAUAUCUCCACAGUUUCCGACGUUCUCUCCGUCUCGAGAGGCGCCGCCUGCACCCUUCUCUGCCAGAAUAAUUGGAAUCUCAGCUCCGUCUACGACAAAUUUUUCGCCGCCGACGACAGAAAUCACCAAACCGCCGCGUCGUCGUCGCAGCGAGAAUUAGGGCAAAAUCUGUGCAAGAUAUGUUACGACGAAAUCAGCCCCCAAAACACGGUCUCUGCCGCCUGCGGCCAUCCCUUCUGCGCCGAUUGCUGGAAAACGUAUGUCUCGGCGGCGAUCGACGACGGCGCCGGAUGCCUGACGCUGCGGUGUCCGGAGCCUGGCUGCGGCGUCGCCGCAGGCGUAGAUCUGAUAGAAUCGCUUGCCUCCACCGACGGCAAGGAGAAGUACCAUAGAUAUCUCCGCCAAUCCUACGUGGAGGCCAGCCGCCGGAGAAAGUGGUGCCCCGCCCCGGGAUGCAAUUUCGCCGUCGAAUUCGACGGAGGCGGAGGCGGCGGAGGCUACGACGUGACGUGCGGCUGCUCUCACAAAUUCUGCUGGAACUGCGGGGAAGAGCACCACCGCCCCGUCGGCUGCGAGACGGUGGCGAGCUGGUCGGAGAAGAACAAUUCGGAGGUGGAGAACACGCAGUGGAUCCUCGCCUACACCAAACCCUGCCCCAAAUGCCGCCGCUCCAUCGAGAAAAACCAAGGCUGCAAUUGGAUGACGUGUCGCCCCCCCUGCGGAUUCCGAUUCUGCUGUCUCUGCGGCCAGGACUCGAGGUUCCACACCCGCUGCAACAAAUACGGCGGCGCCGCCGCCGGCUAUGAAAAGAAUGCUAAGAGAGAGAAGGCGAGGAAGGAUCUGCAGAGAUACACGCAUUACUACGAGCGGUGGCACGCCAACGAGCAGUCGAGGAAGGCGGCCGUGAAGGAUCUGAAGACGUGGAGAGACGACGACGGCGUCUCUAAGCUCGGCGAGGCGCAAGCGGAGGCGCCGGCGCAGCUGCAGUUCGUGACAAAGGCGUGGGAGCAGAUUGCGGAGUGCCGGCGCGUGCUGAAAUGGAGCUACGCCUAUGGUUACUACAUGGAGAGGGAGGCGCCGAAGAAGGUGGCGUUGUUCGAGCAUUCGCAGGGGGAGGCGGAGAAGCAGCUGGAGCGGCUGCACCACUGCGUGGAGAAGGAGAUGGGGGAGUACCUCCGGCAACAGAGGGAGGAUUUCCAGGAAUUUAGGGUUAGGGUUGUUGAUCUGACUGUGGUGACCGGGAAUUAUUUUGAGAAUUUGGCGAGGGAUUUGGAGAAUAAUCGAGCGGAAGUUGUGGGUGGCGGCGGCGGCCGGAAUGGUUUGAAGAAGAAGAAGAAGAAGGAUGACGAUGAGAGGAAGGGUUUGGAGAAGAAGAGAAGGAAGAAGAAGGAUGAUGAUGAGAGGAAUGUUCCUAGGAAAAGAGUAACUUAUGCUUCUAGGUAUUCUCGUAAUUAAGUAUUGAUGAUGAACGUGCACGUUUGUUUUGGAUGAUUAUUAUUGUGAGGAGUGUAUAGUUUUUUUUUUUUUGGUUUUAGGAUUAUUGAGAUUGUUUCAAUAGUAAGCUUAUGAUUAGAAAAUCAUAGACUAUUCAUUAAUUUAUGCAUGUUGAAUUAUGAAAUUUUUGGUAGUACAAUAUUCUUGUUAUUGGUUUUGGUGAAAUAUGGAAAACAUUGAAGAUCUAUGAAGAUGUAGUUGAGCAAUGAAUAUUGCCUAUGUAUUCAAGAGCUUUAUUUUGUACUCCCUCUGUCCCAAUAAUAUAGUGGCAGAUCUAUAAGGGGCGAUUGGGGUACAACUGUACCCGAAAAAAAGAAAAAAAUUUACUAGUAGUGUUAAGCCCUAUCAGUUAGUNACAAAAUGCUGAAGAAUUCGUCCUCGAAGGUUUUCAGAAGAUCGACAUCCAGCCAUGAAAGCUCGAAAGAAACCCACAUUUACUGUGAUAAGGCUUUGGCUUUUUACCUAUAUCUUGUGUUAUGUUUCGUGUCGUUAUGCUUGGAAAUGAUACAUUGCAAGAAUUUCAAAGUUGAUUCCGAUUUGUUGAGGAAGAUUUCUCAUGAAUAAUACACAAAUUUUGAUGAAAAGAAUUUGGUUGAGGAAUUUGGUCGAACACCUUGUUAGCAUAGAAUAAAACUCUAAUACUCUCAAGCUGGCAAGAAUAAAACUUGCUGAUAUAAAAAGAUAAACAAAAGUUUAGCCAUUUUCCAAUACAUAUAUAAAUACAAUCUAUUUAUUCUCAUUGAAUCGCUACUUCAACAUACUCAAAAAACAAUCAAAACCAAGUAGUAUAUUAUAUUUUUUUCCAAUUGAAUUUCUAUUGUUGCUAUUAUAAAAGCAUGCAUUAAUUCUUAUAAAUUUUGACACCUUACCUUAUGUGACUUUUCUUAUUGAAUAAAUAGUAAUUUUAAAAGUAAUUAAAAUUCGAAACAUGUAGGUGUAGCCUCAACGCAACCAUUAAUAAUAUUGAAAAAUAAGGCAGUUUAGAGUUUAAUGUGAAUGUGAUGGUUUUGCUUCUUUUUUUUUUUUGGUGUAAUUUUCAAAAUGACUAGAAUUAUAAAGUUGAUAGUGAUCUAUAGUUUCUAUCCCAACAGCUCUCUAUCUCUCUUGCAACAACUUGUCACUUGACGGUCAAUUAAGCUCUAAUUUUAUCGCAGUCAAACUCAUGUAAAAAUUACAACAAAAAUAUAAAUUUAUGUAUUUUUUGGUUUACUUAAAAGUUCAUGUGAAAAUUAUAACUUUUUUCCAAAGUUCAUGUAUUUUUUGGUCAUAACCUCUGGUUCUAUUCAAGUUUAAAUGAUCAUUCUAAAUUUAGAUUUAAAUUCAAAUACUAAUCAUUUGGGAAAAAAAAUACAUAUUCUAGAAAGUAUGAUUAUUUAUUUUGAUAAUACAUAUAAUCGCCUGGGUCAGGUUUCGUAAAUAUUUAGGCCCAGCUUGGCUCAGGAUAACAUGUAUAGUGGGCCUUGGCUGGGCCCAUGCUAGUAGAUUGCAAUGGGCAUUUCCGUGGGUUCAACUAGGCUGAGUUUGGUGGGCUUCUUGUUGAUUUUGUAUAGAUUUUUACUUGGUGGGCUUGGAUCUUGUGAGCUAAUGAAUACCGUUGAAUUAGUCUUUCAACAAGUCUACUAGCAUGGCCCACUUUGCAAUUUUUUUGUUUCCACACUUCCUUUUCUUCUCUACACAUGAAUACAUAGAUUAAUUUAUCGCAGGCUAAGUGUAUUAUUUUACUAAUAUUUUGAAAUUAGGAUAAAUCUGUAUUUUGUAAAUUCCACCAGUAGGCCUACAUGAUUGGGAUUGGAAGAAAAUGAUAUAACUGAUAUGUGUCUUUAACGUGGGCCACACAUCGUUGACUUGAGACUCUUCUAAGUCCUAACUAUGAAUUAUUUGGAAAAAGCAUAUAAUCUUGACGGCUCGACCAAUCAAUCCUUGGGCUUAAAUUCUAGCAUUAGAAUUUUGAAUUGGUCUCCACCUUAAGCGUGUUAAUGGGGUUAGUUGCUAAUAAGACAAAACCCGCUUUCACUAUUUGUAAUUUCCACAUACACGUAUACACGAUAGCGAUUUUUCCUUUUCUUUUCCUUUUAUUUUUGCUAUUCAGAUAUUGAUUAGUGAAAUUUUCUGGUUGAUAAGAAUUUUCCGAAACCAUUUUAUACUCAAUCCUAAAUUUAUUAUCUUUGGCUUUUUAAUGCCAGCCACUCAAUGCAAAACAACUAUAUGUUUUGCAAAAAAUCUUUCCAUUAAUUUCUCUCUCAUCAAAGGAUCAACAAAUGGCUACUUAUAAACUACAUGCAUGCAUGGUUUGUGGCAAGCUGCUUUUUAUUAGAGAUGAACUUUUUAGUUAAGUACAAAAUGAGACACCAAUUAUGAACUAAAUUAUUAAAAUAACUGGAUACAAAUAUUAAUAUUAUACACUAAUUGCUUUAGUCAUCCAAGUCAACCAUUUAGCCCAUGUUUGGUUGGGUGUUUUUAGAAUCUGGAAAGGGAUUCAAUUGAAUCCAUUACUUGUUGUGUGAUUUGAGUAAUGAGUUAAUCAUCACCCUUAAUUAAAGGUAACCCAAUCACCCAAUUUGUUGCCCCUCAAAAUAGGGGGGAAACAAAAGAAAUGGUGCAUCUUCAUCUUUCUGCCCCGACUUUGAUUGUUCAACCAAACAAGAUCACACUAAAACGUCCCACAUGAUUUGAGCAUUUACAUUGAUUGAAUUAAUGCUCGACUCAUCCAUGCUCCGAGACCAUUUAUGAGUCAAGUACUGCAUUGGCACGACUCCUCCUGCUGACUCAAAUAAAUAACACAAUUUUUUGAAAGAAAAAAACAUUAAAAUUAAUGGCUCAAAGACCGUUGCAAAGCUUUUCAAAAUUUGAUUUGAUUUAUUAUUAUUUUUUUAAAUAUAGCGCGUGUACAACACACGUCUUUGAUUUUAACUUAAAGAGCUUGACUCCAUGGAACGAGUCGGCACUCGAGUCAACAACGCCUGCAUCGGCUGACUCAUGGCAUCAGCAGAUUCAAGUCAGGCUAUCAAGUCAACCGAUGUGGGUGCUCUUAGAUGGCACUCGGGCAAGAGGGUUGACCCGAGGCUUCUCGGCAUGCUAGAGAUGUCCGGGGAGAUCUAUGUUUAACGGCAAGAGUUCUUCGACAAGAUCUUCCACGAAGAUCAAGAGGAAGUGUUCAAGAAGAUUGGGCACGCGUCGAAGACGAAGAAGAAGCAUAUGAGCAAGAGUGGAACCAUUAGAAGAGAUGGAUCAAAUGAGUUUAGAGCUGAGAGGUUUAAGAAUUAGAACACCAAAUGUGAUUGUUGCUGAAGGUGAUGAACAAGGAGAUCAGGCUGCAAAUGGUUCAAAAUAAUUGUAUGGCAUUCUUUUUCAAUUAUCCUUUGUAGCCUAUAAGUUUGUUGUUGUAAUUGGAAACAUGUAAAUUAGUAGAAAGUGCAUAUAGUAUAACUUUUUUUUUUUUUAAAUUGAUUUCUUUUGUUACUAUCGUCAUUGCAAUUAAGGGAAUCUUAUAAAUUAAUUAAUUAAUGAAGCAGAAGUGCAUAUAAAUAUAUAUUUUUUCCAAUUGAAUUUCUAUUGUUGCUAUUAUAAAAGCAUGCAUUCUUAUAAAUUUUGACACCUUACCUUAUGUGACUUUUCUUAUUGAAUAAAUAGAAAUUUUAAAAGUAAUUAAAAUUCGAAACAUGUAGCCUCAACGCAACCAUUAAUAAUAUUGAAAAAUAAGCCAGUUUAGAGUUUAAUGUGAAUGUGAUGGUUUUGCUUCUUUUUUUUUUUUGGUGUAAUUUUCAAAAUGACUAGAAUUAUAAAGUUGAUAGUGAUCUAUAGUUUCUAUCCCAACAGCUCUCUCUAUCUCUCUUGCAACAACUUGUCACUUGAUUUAAUUUUGACGGUCAAUUAAGCUCUAAUUUCGUCACAGUCAAACUCAUGUGAAAAUUGCAACAAAAAUAUAAAUUCAUAUAGUUUUUGGUUUACUUAAAAGUUCAUGUGAAAAUUACAACUUUUUUCCAAAGUUCGUGUAUUUUUUGGUCAUACCCCUGGUUCUAUUCAAGUUUAAAUGAUCAUUCUAAAUUUAGAUUUAAAUUCAAAUAAACUAAUCAUUUGGAAAAAAAAAUACAUAUUCUAGAAAGUAUGAUUAUUUAUUUUGAUAGUACAUAUAAUGGCCUGGGUCAGGUUUCGUAAAUAUUUAGGCCCAGCUUGGCUCAGGAUAACAUGUAUAGUGGGCCUUGGCUGGGCCCAUGCUAGUAGAUUGCAAUGGGCAUUUCCGUGGGUUCAAUUAGGCUGAGUUUGGUGGGCUUCUUGUUGAUUUUGUAUAGUUUUUUACUUGGUGGGCUUGGAUCUUGUUAGCUAAUGAAUAGUACCGUUGAAUUAGUCUUUCAACAAGUCUACUAGCAUGACCCACUUUGCAAUUUCUUUGUUUCCACACUUCCUUUUAUUAAGUGUGGGUCUAGCGGGUUGAGUGGGUCGCAAAAACGGGUCAACAAAACGAGUGGGAAAGACCCACCCAAUCUCAUAUAAGAUAAUAAGAGACCGGUCCUAUGAAUUCAAUUCUCAUAAAAUUUAUCUUAAUUCAAUCAAAUACAUAUACUUUGAAGAAAUACUAACAAAGUAAAACUCAUCACACGAGUAUUAUUGAUCUUUUUACAGGUAAAAAAUGUAUUAAUUCUAGUAAAUCUAUGCACAUAAUGCCAAAAUCAUGACAAGAAUACCAGGCACUGGUAUCAACAAUACGAUGUCAAAGCAGUCGUAGCGACUUCACUACGGCAGAUCUUGUGAUUUGCUUUCAUGCCUCAACUUGCAAUAAGCCAAAAGUGCAAAAUGGGAAUUUAAAGGAACUGUAAUUCGAGCCAUAACAGUAUGAUGUCGAAGCAGUCGUGAGGACUUCCUAACUACGAUGUUGCCUGAAAAAAUUGAGCAUCUUACUUUCCUGAUGAAGACUGCAACCAUGAGAUCUAGCUCUGGAAUCGGGCGAUGAAUCUUGGAACUUUCAUGCCAAACCCGUGCUUCGCCCUAUCCACACUGUUAAAAAAUCAAUCACGUUGAAUUUAUCAAUCAAUGGAGAGGAACAUAUAUAUAUGCUAUUUGGAAAUGAAAUGGAAUAGAGGAGAAUCACUGAAGCUGAUAUGCAACAUCAAUACAUUUUAAUUGGAGCAAACAUAUGCGAAAAAUGAGCACUUGAUACAAAAUGAGCACUUGAGACUCUUCUAAGAGGGUGUUUGGCUAAGCUUAUUUUAAAGAGCUUAGCUUAUAAGAUGUUUGAAGAGCUUAUAAGAUAUAAUUUUUAAGAGCUUAUAAGUUGUCAAAUUGUUUGGAUAAUUGAGCUUAUAAGCUAGAAAGAGAAUUUUUUGUUAGAGAGAGAAAAUAUUUUUUUAGAAAGGGAAAAUCGAAGAAAAAUGAACUUGAAUGAUAUAUAAUGAAAAUAAUAAAUUAUAGUUGAAAAAUAUUUGUAAAAUGAUCAUUGCAUAUGAGAUUAUAAAAGAAUAAGUUGGGGUAGAUGAACUUAUUUUUGGGAGUCUUAUAAGCUCUUGGAGCUUAUUUUUGGAGCUUAUAAGUUGUUUGAGAGCUUAUUUUGCCAAACACUUUGGAAGAUCUUAUAAGCUCCUAAACAGCUUAUAAGCUUAUAAACACCCUCUAAGUCCUAACUAUGCUUGACGGCUCGACCAAUCAAUCCUUGGGCUAAAUUCUAGCAUUAGAAUUUUGAAUUGGUCUCCACCUUAAUUAAGAGUGUUAAUGGGGUUAGUUGCUAAUCAAACAAAACCAUCUUUCACGAUUUGUAAUUUCCACAUACACGUAUACACGAUAGCGAUUUUCCUUUCUUUUCUUCUAUUUUGCUAUUCAGAUAUUGAUUAGUGAAAUUUUCUCGUUGAUAAGAAUUUUCCGAAACCAUUUUAUACUCAAUCCUAAAUUUAUUAUCUUUGGCUUUUUAAUGCCAGCCACUCAAUGACAAAAGACUAUAUGUUUGCAAAAAUCUUUGCAUUAAUUCUUUCUCAUCAAAGAUCAACAAAUUGCCUACAAGUCUACAUGGUUAAUUUAUUAGAGAUGGCCUACCUAUGGACCUAGACUUUUAUCAACUAUUAAUUCAACAACACUACAUUAAAUAACGUAGGAGACUAAAAAUCAAUGUACAAUAACGAUUAUAUAAAUUAAUAAAAAAGAGUAUAUAUUUUGCAAAAAUUUCGUUGCAUUAAUUUCUUUCUCAUCAAAGAUCAACAAAUUGCCUACAAGUCUACAUGGUUAAUUUAUUAGAGAUGGAACUUUUUAGUCCACGAUUAGUUCUUAAGUACAAAAAUGAGACACCAAUUAUGAACUAAAAUAUUACUCACGAUUUGUCCCUAAAAAUUAUAUGAACCAAAAGAUAUGACACGAGUUUUAAGAAAAAUGGUAGUUUUGUUUAAGUUGCAACCAUUUAGUUUUAAGUACAAAAUGUAGUACACCAAUUAUGAACUAAAUUAUGAUACAUAUAUUAAUAUUGUACACGAAUUAAUGAUUAUUAGUCUUCCAUGUCAACCAUUUAGUCUUUCCUUACUCUAAAAAAAAUAGUCUUCCUCUCACCACAUCCACAAGCAUAUCAAUGGCAAUUUCUUCUAUUCCCACUUUUUUGUGUCUUUCUUUAUAUUUAUGUAUUACUAGCUACAAAAAUUCGUUACGAGAUUGGCCUACUUUUGGAAUACUAGCAGAGAUAACGUGCUAUUAAUUAAUAGAUACUUUAUAAGUGCAAUAGUGUUUCUAGUGGCUUAUUUAAAGCCACUUGCACAAGUUUGUAGAAAACACAAAUCACAAUACUAUCAAUUAAUAGCCUCUUCAUCACAAUGCUUCCAAAGUUGUUCUUCGUCAUUUCUACACUAAUUUCCUCCUUCAUUUUCACUACUCAUUCUUAUAAUACCCAAUGCCUUCACCAUCAGAAAAUCUUGUUGCUUCAACUCAAGGAUGAUUGAUUCAAUUCCUCUCUUUCAACAAAAUUGGUGCGAUGGAAUGAAAGGGAUGAGUGCUGCAAGUGGCACGGUGUGGAAUGUGCUGUUGCUGGCUACGUCGUCAGUUUGCAGCUCGAUAAUGAGUCAAUUUCUGGUGGAAUCGCGGAUUCAUCGAGUCUCUUCAAACUUGUGCAUCUGCAGAAGCUAAAUCUAGCCGACAAUUAUUUCACUAUGACACUCCCAUCCCGAAAGGUAUUCACAAUCUCACCUAUUUGACACACUUGAAUUUAUCCUAUGCUGGAUUUGGUGGGCAGGUUCCCGCUGAAAUUUCUUCCUUGAGGAGGUUGGUUAGUCUCGAUAUCUCCUAUAAUGAUAUAUCUGUGAAACUGGAGAUGCUUGUCCAAAAUCUAACAGGGCUUCGAGAGCUCUAUCUUGAUCGUGUCAUGUUACUUCUCCUCAUGAGAGGAGAAAAUGGAGCCACAUUAUAUCAUCAUAUUUACCCAACCUCACCGCCUUGAGCUUGGUUGAAUGUGGUUUAUCUGGCCCUUUAGCUGAGUCCUUUUGGCAACUCCAUUCCCUUUCCAUCCUUCGACUGGGUUAUAACAAUCUUUCAACAAAAGUUCUGGACUCGUUCGCCAAUUUUCCAAUUUUGACCACUUUGUCUCUUUAUAGCUGCAGUUUGAAGGGUUCGAUUCCAUCCACCUUUGCUAACCUAACCAACCUGAUUCAUCUUGAUUUGUCAGAUAACUUCUUCACAGGCUCACUUUCUUCUAUGCUGUUUGAAGGUCUUUCCAAUCUUGUUUAUUUAGAUUUGUCAUAUAAUUCAUUCUCUGGCCACAUUCCCCACUCUCUCUUUGCUCUCCCUUCAUUGUUGGAACUUGAUCUUAGGUACAAUCAAUUUAGUGGCACUUUCCAACUGGACAACUUUCGAAAUCUUGCCAAUCUAACCCGACUUGAUCUAUCUCACAAUAGAUUGUCAGUAGAUGUUGGCAACCUCAAUUCAACUUCAUAUGGAAGUCUCCAACUAAAAGAGUUAAGACUAGCUUCAUGUAAUUUGUCCCAUUUUCCUAAUUUCAUCAAACAUUUGGAUAUGGAAAUAGUGGACCUCUCAAACAAUCGGAUUGGUGGGGAGAUACCUAGUUGGAUUUGGGGAACACAACUUCAGUCUUUGUUCCUCUCUUUUAAUCUUCUAACAGAUCUGCAAAAGCCUUACCAUAUCCCUACUUCUCUUGAAGAGCUAUACUUGGACUCUAACCAGCUCAAGGGUGAGUUGCACCUGCCCAUUCCAUCUGCGUCUCAACUCUGGUACUUGUCUCUUGCUAAUAACAGUUUAAGUGGAUCGAUUUCAACCUCCCUUUGCAGUGCCACGAGCCUCCUUGUUCUUGAUUUGUCUGGCAAUAGAUUAAGUGGCAGCAUACCCCCUUGCUUACUUGAAAACAUUUCAGAGUUAGAUCUAAGCCAAAACAACAUCAGCGGUAGCAUUCCAGAUAAUUUUCCUAUGUAUUGUAGCCUGAAAUAUUUGGAUCUUAACAAUAAUGCUUUAGAAGGGAAAAUCCCAAAGUCCCUUGAAAGAUGCGAAGGGUUGGAGUUCAUGAAUGUUGGGAACAACAACAUCACUGACAGUUUCCCGUGCUUACUAUCAUCCACGUGGUUGCGAGUUCUUGUUUUGCACUCUAACAGAUUCUAUGGAGAAGUAAGAUGUCACAACAUGAGCUGGCCACAUCUCCAAAUUCUAGAUAUAUCUUCCAAUCAGUUCAGUGGAAAUCUGGAAUCGAUAAACUUUUCUAGUUGGAAGACACUGAUGCUACAAUUGAGGUACGGCAAUACAGAUUUCCGGUUUUGGUUUUCAUUCAGCAUCACAUUAAUCAUGAAAGGGACAAAUUCAGAGUAUCACACGUUUUGGUUAGAGUUUGGUAUCAUUGAUUUGUCUUGCAAUAAUUUUGGAGGAGAGAUACCAAAUGCAAUUGGUGAUCUUACCUCACUUCAUCAGCUCAACUUCUCCCACAAUGCCCUCAAUGGAAGCAUCCCAAACUCAUUUGGUCAGUUGAGGAAUCUCGAAUCACUCGACCUCUCUGUAAAUCGACUCAUCGGGCCAAUACCAGUGGAGCUUGCAGGGCUCACAUUUCUUUCAUUCUUGAAUCUGUCCUACAAUAAGCUGGAUGGAGAGAUCCCAAAUGGGCGUCAGUUACAAACAUUUUCAGCUGAUUCCUUCAAAGGAAAUGCGGGGUUGUGUGGUUUCAAUCUCAACAUAAGCUGCAGUGAUAGUGAUGACAGUGAUCAUUUGUGGCCACAAGAAGAUGAAAAUGAAGAAGAGAAGAGUGAGAUCGAGUGGGAAUACGUAUCUGCUGCAGUUGGAUAUGUUGUGGGAUUAGGAAGCAUUGUCUGGUUACUUCUAUUCUGGCGAAGCUUCAGAGAAAGAUAUUUCGAGAAAAUAGAAGAGGUUGUUGACAAGAUGUUCUACGAGAGAGCGAGGAAAAGAAGGCAUGAAAGAAGAAGAAAAAUAGUAGAGAUGAGAAAAGAGAUUAGGAGACAGCAGCGAGGUUGAUGAUAUGCUAUUUCAUACUUAAAUAAACAAGGGUGUUUAGUGUUUGAUGUGAGUGUGAAUGUUUUGUUUUGCUGUUUUUUGUUUUUUUGUUUUUGUUUUUGGGCAUGUAAAAGAGAUUAUGUGUGUUGGUAAAUCAGAUUUGUGUUGGUUAAGAUAUCCUAGGGUUUCCCUUUACAUAUUCAGUCAUUUGUUGUCUUAUAUUGUUAUUAGAGUAUCUUUCAUUUUUCAGCAGCAAUAAAAUUGUAUCAGUUCUCUCUUGUUUCUCUGCUUCCUAUAUAUUGUUACACGGUAUCCGAGCCUGAUGGCUUUUCAAAUGUUUGAUUUUGUUACUCUGAGAACAUGAAUGAUGGAAGUAGUGCAUCGUAGACAAGGUCGUUGGUGACAGUUGUAGUAUAUAUCAAAAUAAUUAUUUUCAUAUUAUAAAGAUUAAAAAUAAUCAAGAUAAAUAAAAAACAUCUUAAAAUAUUGUCUUGUCCUUAAUUGGCGAAUUCAAGAUUAAAUUCACGACAAAAUCUAUUAUUAGAAUUGCCUCUUAAAUAGGGCAAUUCACGACCGGGAAUAAGUUUCAUUGUCAAUUGCCUUGUUUAAAGAGCAAUUAACAAUUAAACAUAUUCUUACUUGUGAACCCAAACAUCAAAGGUUGGGUAUAAAAUUGCAAAUAAUUCAAAAUCUAACAGGGCUUCGGGAGCUCUAUCUUGAUGAUGUGAAUGUUAAUUCCUCUCAUGAGAGGAGAAAAUGGAGCCACAUUAUAUCAUCAUAUUUGCCCAACCUCACCGCGUUGAGCUUGUCUGGGCCUUUAGCUAAGUCCAUUUGGCAAAUGAGGAGAGAGAUAGAGAGAGUAGUGAAAAAGUAAGAGAAAGAUAAAGUAAAUGAGAAAAGAGAUAGAGAGAGUGAAUAAAGUGAAUUAUUUUAUUUUUUUACGUUGUGACAUUAUAAAUGAAACGCCUAAAAAGGAAAUUUGAGACAAUAUCACUGGGACGAAGGAAGUAGGAAAGUUUUUAAUACAUCUUGAUUAUAAAAUAUUUAUAAUUUCUACUUAAAAUUCAAUUUAAUAAGUUGAACUAAACAAAAUUCAUUUAAUAAAAUAUAGUGAAACUUGGUUAUAAAAAAAUUGAUUUGCUUGUUAUAUUCACUUAUAUAUACUUAACUUAAGGAUAAUCGUGUUUUUUAAAACUAGAUAAUCUAUGAAAAUAUUGUUCAUUAUUAUUAUUAUUAUACUUGUCUUUUAAUAGAAAAUGUAUGAAAUGCCCAAAAAAAAAUUGUUUGUUAUUUAGAUUAUGCUUGUCUUUUAAUAAAAAAAAUGCCUAAAAUAUACGAAAUGUUCAAAAAAAAUAUUGUAAUGUAUUGAAACUAAUUUGUAAUAUAUUGAAACUAUAUAAUCUAUGAAAAUGUUGUUUGUUAUUAUUAUUAUUAUGCUCCUAUUUUAAUAAAAAAAAAUGCCUUAAAUAUACGGAAGCCCAAAAAAAAUUUCUCGGGGGCUACCGCCCCCGAACCCCGUAGUAAAUUCAGCCCCCUAAACUUAAUUCCUGGCUCCGUCCCUGAUUAGAGAUGAACUUUUUAGUUAAGUACAAAAUGAGACACCAAUUAUGAACUAAAUUAUUAAAAUAACUGGAUACAAAUAUUAAUAUUAUAAAGAGUAAGCAAGAAUAGCAGAAAAUCCUAAGCAAAUCUUGAGAUUUCCCACUCUCUUGAUUUGUCUUUGUUAGGUUGUAUUUCAAUUAAAAUGCUCGCUAUUUUAUGUUAUAAGUAAUUUUAGUGUGCAUGUUAAAUUUAUGCCUCGAUGACUUGGCUAUGAAAAGACCUAAGCCAGCGUCACCAUCAGAGACGCUGAUAGUCCUGCAUCAAUGAUUUCCUCGAUUAAAAUACUCCCUCCGUCCACGAAAUGAGUACCCAUUUGUGGACGGCACGGGUUUUAAGAAAUGUAUGGAGUGUACGUAGUGUGAAUAGUUUAAGAGUCCCACUUUUUUAGUGUAUUAAUUAAAGAGAUGUGUGGGGUACACUUGCCAAAAAGGGCAAUGGGUACUCAUUUCGUGGACGGAGGGGGUAAUAAAAUUUGAAAUUUAAUCUGGCUAUGAAAAGAAUCAAAAAGAGUUUUUACCGGGAAUUGUGUUUGCGUAUGGUUGGUUGGGGGCUAUACAAAAGUAGGGAUUUAAUUCUGGGCUAUGUUUAUGGGGUAAAAUUGUAAAUUUAUAAUUAAUUUUUUUAUUAUUUUAUAUGGGGGCUAUAGUGAGUAAAUUGGGGUUGUGAAUAGAAUUACCUGAAAUAAAAAGGCCUUCAAAAUUCUAACGUGAGUAAUCCAUAUUUUAUAAAGAAGGUUUCAAUUUUAAUGAGAUAAUAACACUAACUUGAUUAAGUCCAUAAAUUCGAUAAUAAGCCGAGAACAUGUGGGUGCAUCACUUGUUAAUUAGUAUUCUAUUUUUUCAAGCCCGAACUUUUUUUUAUCAUAAUUUGUAAAUGCUUAAGUUACUAUCCUAAAAAAUCCUCCGACUCUCAAAUUAAGGAUCAACAAAUUGCCAUUUGUAUAAACUAGUACAAGUCUACAUGGUUUGUGGUAAGCUUCUUUUUAUUAGACAUGGAACUUUUUAGUCCAAGAUUAGUUCUUAAGUACUAUAAAAUAAGACACCAACUAUGAACUAAAUGAUUACGGUAUAUUUUUUUAAUAAAAUAACUGGAUACAUAUAUUACUAUAUACUAUUAUACACGAAUUGCUUUAAUCUUCCAAGUCAACCAUUUAGUCUUUCCUUCUCUAAAAAAAAAGUAGUCUUCCUCUCAACCACAUCCACAUCCACAAGUAGUCUUUCUCUAUAUGAAAUAGUCGAAGAAAUAUUAAAAUUUAAUGAGCCAUCUUCUUCUUAAAAGACCUUUUAUUAUUCCAUACUUAUAUAUUGGAUUUGGAGACCGGAUCAUUACCGAGUCAAUGUGGGAUAGAAAGAAGGGUUAUUAGCCUGUAAAUACACGAAUUUUUUAUAUUUUCUGAAAUUUAACAUGACUUUUAUUUUUAGCCAACAAAUACGCGAACUUAGCAUUUUUUCUGAUUUUUGACAUCGACAAGAAUAAAUUUUAAUUUACUAUUAACGUGAAGGCCAGUAUACCAUGCCAUUCACUCUCUAAUCAAAAUAAUGAAUCAAAUUACUCUAUUUAAGUACAUAUCUCGUAGUCACGUCAUGUAUUCCGGCCUCCACCUCAACAAUAAAUAGAUUUUUUCAUGUCGAUGUCAAAAAUAAAAAAAAUGCCAAGUUCGUGUAUUUAUGGGCUAAAAAUAAACAACGGCGGAGACCGAUAGACGUGAGAAUAGGGCUAAAGGCUCCAACUGCCGACACACAUAUCUCAAGAAUGAAAAGGCAAUCAAACUUGGUUUAUUUUUUCCAAAGUGACAAAGUUUGGUACCAAGAAAAUGUUUUAUCGCAUUGGCCUACUUGAUUUAUAUUCCACAAUGAGUGUGGAAAAAGUUCAACCCUUGCAGCACGUCAACUAAACAUCUAAUCUCAUUUCAAAUUUAUUAUCAAAUUAACACAACACACUUUUGCAAACAACACACUUUUGGCGGUAACUAGCGAGCUCGGACAACUCACAUUCCUUACAUUCUUGAAUCUGUCUGGUCGGAACGAUCCCAAAUGGCCGUCAAUUCCUAAGAUUUUCCCUUAUUUACUUAGAUGGAUUGGAACUUUCGAAUAUUUCAAGGCUGGCUCAUGAUAAUUUCUGUUAUUUGAGUUAAUUUUGUGUGAUUUAUAUUCCACUGAAAAAUCAUAAUAUAGAGAAUAAAAAUAUUAUUAUUUUUCAAAUGUUUUGAAAUUAAUAAAUAUCUAUAUUUUUAAAUUCAAAAAAUAGGCCUACAUAAUUUGGAAUUUGAAGAAAAUGAUAGAACUGACAUGUGGCUUUAACGUGGGCUACCAAAGUUGACUGAGGUCUUCAAAGUUCAAAGUCCUAUCUUAAGUCAACCAUUCAGUCUUCUUCUCGAUAUAUAUUACUCCCUCCGUCCCGCGAGUCUUGACACGUUUUCCUAUUUGAGCCGUCCCACGAAUCUUGACACGUUUCUUUUUGGGCAAUAACGACUUUGGUGGACGUCGCCAACCACCAAAUAAUUCCUGCGGAAUUACCAAAAUAAAUUAGUAUAUUGGUAAGCAGGGUCGAUCCCACAGAGAGCAGUUAAAAUUCAUUCAAAUCCCUAAUCUAUAAAAACGGUGAUGCCACCACGCCUUAAAUUUAAGAGGAAUUAAUUAAACUAAAAGCAGAAUUAAAUCAAAUAAAAUAGCUUGAAGUAAAUCAAAUAAAAAGGGUAAUUCGGCUCAAAUAAAUCCACUCUAAUUCAACUCUGAUCCUCGACGCAAUAAUUAAUCAAUCCCUAUCAACCAACCAGUUAUAGGAUACCGUGAAACGCAACGGACGUACCCAAUACUACUUACUGUGUCGAUAAACAGCUGGAGAGCCAGACCUGCUUAUUUCCCUUAUUAAAAUAUAACCUAGCUGAAGACGCCAGACCUAGAUUUAAUAUUCUAAUAGCAUUAAGAUGAAGGAACCCAAUUUAUAUCAAUUAUCCUAGAGACGCUAGUAAUAAUUAAUAUACCAAUUAAUUCCCCCUACGAACACGGUAGUUGUAUCACUAAUUAGUCCAAUUCCAACAAUUACGGAUUGGCAGGAACUAAUUGACUGUAAUUCAAUUAAACUUAAGUUGAUCAGGCUUAAAUAAAAUCAGAAUUAUCUUGGAACCUAGGAAUUAAUCGGAAUCAAUAGGAAUCAAUUUUAAACCAAUUAGGUCUCACAGAUCAUUAAAUUAGAGUUUCAUUAUUCUCGCCGAAUUAAAAGAUUUAGCUACUCAUGCUUGAAAUAAAAACAAUCAAAUAAUUAAAAUUAAACAUACGGAAAUAAUCGAAAUAAGCUGAGAAAUAAAUUUGCAAGAAAUAAAUCAAACUUGAAUUAACCCAAUACUCGACUGCUUCCUUUGUUUCCAAUCCAGCCGCUAUCAAUAGUUGAGUGAACAAGAAUUAAAACUAAAGCAACCUUGGAAUCAAUUCCAAAACACGUAAAGCACAAUUUGCAUGAAAGAAAAGAUUGCAUGAAAAAUUAAAGGUCAACUAUGCUUAAAAAAAUCAAAAGUUGCGGCUACUGCAAAGUGAAUGUGUAUAAACUAAUCAAAAGUAAAACCUAAUAAUCCUUAGUCCACACAUGCGGCUAGGUCUAAUGCAAAUAAAAUAAGAGUCCUCCUCUCAUAAGAGUCCUAAUCUCAUAAAAAUACUAUAUGCGGCACUUAUGGAAACAAAAGUAGGGAAUUAAAAUUCCCUUAAGCUGCCGCCUACCAUAACUACACGGGCUUCGGCCCUUAACAAAAAGAAUCAAACCCAAGAAUAACUAAUUAAAAAAAAUGAGUUUUGGACUUAAUUAAAAUUGGAAUAAUUAUCUUCAAGCCCAAUCUCUAAAAAUCUUCCAUCUUCACGUCGAAUCCCAUCGCAAGCUUGUCUUUCUCCACUUUCUUCCAAUUAGUAGCUCCAUCUCCAAUUCUUCUCAUUCCUGCGCCAAAACAUAGCAAAACAUGUAAUAUCACAUGAAACCACGGCAAAACGUACACUAAACUAGGUAGCUAAAAUACACACAUCAGACUUUUUUUACUUAGCAAACUCUUGCAAAUAACUAAUUAAUUUUUAGUAAUUAUUAAAUUCAAUUUUUGAGUGAUGCUAUGAGAUAAAACUACCUAUGGUCCAUUCUAAUACCAAGCUUAUUGCAUUAAUCAACAAAUCAACUCAUCCACCUUCUAGAACAAAUGAAAGUUGCUAAAAAGCUGGCACUAAGUUAAUUAAUAGAUACUUUAUAAGUGCAAUAGUCUUUCUAGUGGCUUAUUUAAAGCCACUUGCACAAGUUUGUAGAAAACACAAAUUAAAAUCACAAUACUAUCAAUUAAUAGCCUCUUCAUCACAAUGCUUCCAAAGUUGUUCUUCGUCAUUUCUACACUAAUUUCCUCCUUCAUUUUCACUACUCAUUCUUAUAAUACCCAAUGUCUUCACCAUCAGAAAAUCUUGUUGCUUCAACUCAAGGAUGAGUUGAGUUUCAAUUCUUCUCUUUCAACAAAAUUGGUGCGAUGGAAUGAAAGGGAUGAGUGCUGCAAGUGGCACGGUGUGGAAUGUGAUGUUGCUGGCUACGUCGUCAGUUUGCAGCUCGAUAAUGAGUCCAUUUCUGGUGGAAUCGCGGAUUCAUCGAGUCUCUUCAGACUUGUGCAUCUGCAGAAGCUAAAUCUAGCCUACAAUUAUUUCAACAACACUCCCAUCCCGAAAGGUAUUCACAAUCUCACCUAUUUGACACACUUGAAUUUAUCCGAUGCUGGAUUUGGUGGGCAGGUUCCCGCUGAAAUUUCUUCCUUGAGGAGGUUGGUUAGUCUCGAUAUCUCCUCUGAUUAUAUAUUUGUGAAACUGGAGAUGCUUGUCCGAAAUCUAACAGGGCUUCGGGAGCUUUAUCUUGAUGAUGUGAAUGUUAAUUCCUCUCAUGAGAGGAGAAAAUGGAGCCACAUUAUAUCAUCAUAUUUACCCAACCUCACCGCGUUGAGCUUGAGUGAUUGUGGUUUAUCUGGCCCUUUAGCUAAGUCCUUUUGGCAACUCCAUUCCCUUUCCAUCCUUCGACUAGAUUAUAACAAUCUUGGACCAGAACUUCCAGACUUGUUCGCCAAUUUUCCAACUUUGACCACUUUGUCUCUUUCUAACUGCAGUUUGAAGGGUUCGAUUCCAUCCACCUUUGCUAACCUAACCAACCUGAUUCGUCUCGAUUUGUCAGACAAUUCAUUCUCUGGUAAUAUUCCCCACUCUCUCUUUGCUCUCCCUUCAUUGUUGGAACUUGAUCUUAGCUACAAUCAGUUUAAUGGCACUUUUCAACUGGACAAGUUUCUAAGUCUUGCCAAUCUAACCCUACUUGAUCUAUCUCACAAUAGAUUGUCAGUAGAUGUUGGCAACCUCAAUUCAACUUCAUAUGGAAAUCUCCAACUAAAAGGGUUAGGACUAGCUUCUUGUAACUUGUCCCAUUUUCCUAAUUUCAUCAAAUAUUUGGAUAUGGAAUACUUGGACCUCUCAUACAAUCGGAUUGGUGGGGAGAUACCUAGUUGGAUUUGGGGAACACAACUUCGGGAUUUGGACCUCUCUUAUAAUCUUCUAACAGAUCUGCAAAAGCCUUACCAUAUCCCUGCUUCUCUUCGAGACAUAUUCUUGCAGUCUAACCAGCUCAAGGGUGAGUUGCACCUGCCCAUUCCAUCUGCGUCUCAACUCUCGUACUUGUUUCUUGCUAAUAACAGUUUAAGUGGAUCGAUUCCAACCUCCCUUUGCAGUGCCACGAGCCUCUAUGUUCUUGAUUUGUCUGGCAAUAGAUUAAGUGGCAGCAUACCCCCUUGCUUACUUGAAAACAUUUCAGAGUUAGAUCUAAGCCAAAACAACAUCAGCGGUAGCAUUCCAGAUAAUUUUCCAAUGGAUCGUUGUUGGCUAGAAUAUUUGGAUCUUAACAAUAAUACUUUAGAAGGGAAAAUCCCAAAGUCCCUUGAAAGAUGCGAGCAGUUGCGGUUCAUGAAUGUUGGGAACAACAACAUCACUGACAGUUUCCCGUGCAUGCUAUCAUCCACGUGGUUGCGAGUUCUUGUUUUGCACUCGAACAGAUUCCAUGGGGAAGUAAGAUGUCAAAACAUGAGCUGGCCAUAUCUCCAAAUUCUAGAUAUAUCUUCCAAUCAGUUCAGUGGAAAUCUGGAAUCGAUAAACUUUUCUAGUUGGAAGACAAUGAUGCUACAGAGUGAUGUACAAUUGAGGUACGGCAAUUCAAAUUUCUAUAACUCACAAUUGUGGAUUUCAUUAAGCAUCACAUUAAUCAUGAAAGGGACAAAUUCAGAGUAUCACACGAUUUGGCCAGAGUUUGGUAUCAUAGAUUUCUCUUGCAAUAAUUUCGGAGGAGAGAUACCAAAUGCAAUUGGUGAUCUUACCUCACUUCAUCAGCUCAACUUCUCCCACAAUGCCCUCAAUGGAAGCAUCCCAAACUCAUUUGGUCAGUUGAGGAAUCUCGAAUCACUCGACCUCUCUGUAAAUCGACUCAUCGGGCCAAUACCAGUGGAGCUUGCAGGGCUCACAUUUCUUCAAGUCCUGAAUCUGUCCUACAAUAAGCUGGUUGGAGAGAUCCCAAAUGGCCGUCAGUUUCAAACAUUUUCAGCUGAUUCCUUCAAAGGAAAUGCGGGGUUGUGUGGUUUCAAUCUCAACAUAAGCUGCAGUGAUAGUGAUGACAGUGAUCAUUUGUCGCCAGAAGAAGAUGAAAACGGGGAAGAGAAGAGUGAGAUCGAGUGGGAGUAUGUAUCUUCUGCGCUUGGUUAUGUUGUGGGAUUAGGAAGCAUUGCAUGGACGCUUUUAUGCCGCAGAAGCUUCAGAGAAAGAUAUUUCGAGAAAAUAGAAG